rnacentral:rRNA from 1 species
CCCUUAGAUGCUCUGGGCCGCACGCGUGCUACACUGAGUGGAUCAGCGGGUCAGGUUGCGCGAAAGCGUUUCCUAAUCUUUAAAUCCGCUCGUGAUGGGGAUUGACGGUUGCAAUUUUCUGUCAUGAACGAGGAAUACCUUGUAAGCGCGGGUCAUCAUCCCGCGCUGAAUACGUCCCUGCCCUUUGUACACACCGCCCGUCGCUCCUACCGAUUGAGUGGUCCGGUGAGGCUUUGGGAUCUGAGCGGAAAGAGCGUUUCGCUGUUUCUGCUCGGAAAACUCAGUCGAACCUUAUCAUUUAGAGGAAGGAGAAGUCGUAACA